ACAGCGGUCCAGACAAGGGGCCGUAAAACCGGACGUCUGGUCACUCUGAGAACCAGCUGCAUUGGAGUGCUCGCAUUCACCCACAGUUAAACUUGGAACUUUGUGUUAAACACUGAUGUGCAUAUACACUGGCGGGAUGUCGUCACUUUGUUGUAACAUAAUCAAAAUGCAUUGUGAUAGAUGUAGUUUGCACGCUGUAAAGCAGCGUAGACUUAUUUCAAUACACCAUUUAAGCAGGCCUUGAGUUUGACACAUGUGACCUAGAUGAUCAGGAGAGUGAAGAAGAACCCUAAAAGAAGAGUGGUCCGACUCAGAAUAGUCAUGACAGGUAUGGUUAAAACAAUAAAUUACGUGGACUUAAGAAAAACACACAUCCCAGAGACCACUUGCAGGUAAUCAAAUUAGCAAUCAAUAAAUAAUAAAAGUUGAUAUACGUUUUCAAGAAGUGUUAUUUUUGCAGACUUGAAUAAUGACGAGAAGCCAUAUGGAUCUCCUUAUCACCAGAAAGAACCAGCUGAAGCACCAAUGCUGCUGGCCAGGCAAUGGCAAUAUGGUGAACCUUACUCACCUCCCUUCUACCAGGAUACUGUACGGAAGUUAUUUCCUGGCCAAACUCUUGUUCGGGGUCAGAUGACUGAGCGGUUAGGGUUGAGCGGUUAGGGAGUCGGCCUAUUAAUCAGAAGUUUGAUUUGAUUCGGUUUGAUUUUUUGUACACAAAAGGUCUAUUUCUCUCAAAUAUUGUUCACAAAUCUGUCUAAAUCUGUGUUAGUGAGGACUUCUUGCCGAGAAAAUCCAUCCACCUCACAGUUGUGGCAUAACAAGAUGCUGAUUAGACAGCAUGAUUAAUGCUGGCCACAAUAAAAGGC